ACCUGUCUGCGGGAGGAAAGUCCGGGCUCCAUAGGACAUGAUGGUGGGUAAUACCCACCGGCCGAGAGGUCAGGGAAAGUGCAACAGAAAAUAAACCGCCAGAAGGGUGACCGUCUGGUAAGGGUGAAACGGUGAGGUAAGAGCUCACCAGCAGGUCGGGAAACCGACUUGGCUUGGCAAACCCCAUCAGGAGCAAAGCUAAGCAGAAAGGAUGUCGUCACUUUGGCGGGACGUGGUGGUCCGUCGCGUUUGACUUUCGGGUAGGCUGCUUGAAGCGGCGAGCAAUCGUCGCCCUAGAUAAAUAAUCGUCACUGAACGGGGUUUCUCGUUCAGGUACAGAACCCGGCUUACAGAUCCGCUC
rnacentral:RNase_P_RNA from 1 species